rnacentral:rRNA from 1 species
AGUGGCAGACGGGUGAGUAAUGUAUAGGAAUCUACCUAGUAGUACGGAAUAAUUGUUGGAAACGGCAACUAAUACCGUAUACGCCCUACGGGGGAAAAAUUUAUUGCUAUUAGAUGAGCCUAUAUUAGAUUAGUUAGUUGGUGAGGUAAAGGCUUACCAAGACAAUGAUCUAUAGCUGAUCUGAGAGGAUGAUCAGCCACACUGGAACUGAGAUACGGUCCAGACUCCUACGGGAGGCAGCAGUGGGGAAUAUUGGACAAUGGGCGAAAGCCUGAUCCAGCCAUGCCGCAUGAGUGAAGAAGGCCUUCGGGUUGUAAAGCUCUUUUAGUGAGGAAGAUAAUGACGGUACUCACAGAAGAAGUCCUGGCUAACUCCGUGCCAGCAGCCGCGGUAAUACGGAGAGGGCUAGCGUUAUUCGGAAUCAUUGGGCGUAAAGGGCGCGUAGGCGGGUUAGUAAGUUAAAAGUGAAAUCCCAAGGCUCAACCUUGGAACUGCUUUUAAAACUGCUAGUCUAGAGAUUGAAAGAGGAUAGAGGAAUUCCUAGUGUAGAGAUGAAAUUCGUAAAUAUUAGGAGGAACACCAGUGGCGAANGCGUCUAUCUGGUUCAAAUCUGACGCUGANGCGCGAAGGCGUGGGGAGCAAACAGGAUUAGAUACCCUGGUNNUNCACG